ensembl:lncRNA
AUUAUGGCCAGGAUUGUACCUUGGUGGAGAUAACCUUACGUGACUUUUUUGAGGUGAACCUUUUGCAAAGAAGCUUAGGAAUGUGAAUGGAGCGAUAUCAUUGCCGGCGGGCAUCGCAUCAUCGAAAGUAGCACAGGCUCAGUUUUUUCCCCAUCGCUAGGUUGCACUUUGAGGUAAUUCUUUGUGUUUUUCACUCAUUUUGUAAAGCCUGUAAAUUCUGUAUACCAGCAGAUCAUUUUUCAGUCCAAAAGGUGACCAUAACACCAUCUGAACUGAUGUCUUGCUUUAAAGGAGUAACUAUCCAUGUAACUGGUUAUAUGCAUUAUAUGCCAGUAAAUAACACAAUCUAUAUUUAAAGUACAUAAGUACAGUAACUGUGGACAUUAUGUAGACUGUAUGUAAAGGAUGGACAUUUAUAGUGGGUGCAAAAAGCAAGGCUAAGUGUCUACAAUCUGCAGGCUUUCUUGUGGACUGACCCCUCAAAAAGAAGUCUGAUAGCAUGAAAUUCUGUUGGAAAAUGAGCCUUUAUAUAGUGGCUGAGAUAUACAACACACUGUAAAAACACUAGCAAAUAGAAAAAUGCUGCAAAACCACAAAAAAAGUAGAACAAAACACAAUGGGACCAGAGAAAAACGCCACAGAAAUAAAACUAACAAACAAAAAAAUUUAUUAAAAAAUCCCCCUCACAAGACACAAUGGAAGUCUCACCAAAAAUACUUAAAAACAAUAAAGAGAUUUAACAAGCUAAUAGUAAACGGCUAAUAGAAAACUUCUAUCUACAGCAUUUCAUGAAUCAUGUGUUUAAAAAAAACAUUAAUUGCAUAUUUUUUCCCUCACAACAAGAUGACUGCUCCACUUCUUUUAAGCAUGUCUCGGUGCAGCCCUUUGCAUGGUUUGGUUUCUGCCAUUUAAUCACCCCUUUCAUCACAUUUUGGUCUCCCUAAACACUUCUGUGAGGUUUGGAUGUUUUGUUCUUCUGCUUUUGUUUUUUGUUUUAUUUCCAUUGUGCUUUAUUCAGCUUCAAUUGUGUUUUGUGUGCUUUUGCAGCACUUUUUUGCUGCUGUUUUUUUCAAGUUUCAGUGUAUUUGACCUCUCAGGGCCACCAUACCUUCAGUUCCUUUUCACCAUGACCUCUGGAAACACUGCCCUGAUGAAUUUAUGUAGGAUAGAGAGGUAUGCCCACCUUCCCAUCCGCCCUGCCACUUUUACUUUUUACAGUAAUAAUGGCAACAUGCGCCCUGAAUGUUGGCAAUACUUCUCUUUGAAUUUAGUCAUACCCUGUGUAGUGCUUUUGGUGGCAUACUGUAUGCAUGCUUGUUCAAAAAUAAUCAAUCUGCCAGCUGGAAAAAAAAAGAAAAAACCAAACUGUGAACACUUUGUUUUUCAACCAAGCCUAGGCCUUCUAACAGACACUGGCUCUUGAUCACACAGAGACAAGCAGGAGAUCCACGCUGUGUUUGCAGCUGCCAAAACUCCUUCAGCUCCAAUAUGUAUGGACACACGGUGCUGAAACUGGAAGAAAGCUGAUGCUUUACCCCUGCUGUUUAGAGCAGGGGUGAAACAAACAGUUGACUGGCAGUGUUACAAGAU